ensembl:rRNA 5S_rRNA 5S ribosomal RNA
ACCAGCAGCUAGCUCUCUGCAACUUUCACAUGGUCGCCCACUGAAACCAAGUAGGGUUGCGCCUGGUCAGUACCUGGAUGGGAGACCACAUGGGAAAACUAGGUUGCUGCAGGAA